GCUACCAUGCAGUCGACGAUGAUUAUCUAGCUUGCUAGAUAUGAUUAGUGGCGGACGGGUGAGUAACAUUUAGGAAUCUGCCUAGUAGUGGGGGAUAGCUCGGGGAAACUCGAAUUAAUACCGCAUACGACCUACGGGUGAAAGGGGGCGCAAGCUCUUGCUAUUAGAUGAGCCUAAAUCAGAUUAGCUAGUUGGUGGGGUAAAGGCCCACCAAGGCGACGAUCUGUAACUGGUCUGAGAGGAUGAUCAGUCACACCGGAACUGAGACACGGUCCGGACUCCUACGGGAGGCAGCAGUGGGGAAUAUUGGACAAUGGGGGCAACCCUGAUCCAGCCAUGCCGCGUGUGUGAAGAAGGCCUUUUGGUUGUAAAGCACUUUAAGCAGGGAGGAGAGGCUAAUGGUUAAUACCCAUUAGAUUAGACGUUACCUGCAGAAUAAGCACCGGCUAACUCUGUGCCAGCAGCCGCGGUAAUACAGAGGGUGCGAGCGUUAAUCGGAAUUACUGGGCGUAAAGCGAGUGUAGGUGGCUCAUUAAGUCACAUGUGAAAUCCCCGGGCUUAACCUGGGAACUGCAUGUGAUACUGGUGGUGCUAGAAUAUGUGAGAGGGAAGUAGAAUUCCAGGUGUAGCGGUGAAAUGCGUAGAGAUCUGGAGGAAUACCGAUGGCGAAGGCAGCUUCCUGGCAUAAUAUUGACACUGAGAUUCGAAAGCGUGGGUAGCAAACAGGAUUAGAUACCCUGGUAGUCCACGCCGUAAACGAUGUCUACUAGCCGUUGGGGUCCUUGAGACUUUAGUGGCGCAGUUAACGCGAUAAGUAGACCGCCUGGGGAGUACGGCCGCAAGGUUAAAACUCAAAUGAAAUUGACGGGGGCCCGCACAAGCGGUGGGAGCAUGUGGGUUUAAUUCGAUGGCAACGCGGAAGAAACCUUACCUGGUCCUGGACAUAGUGAAGAAUCCUGCCAGAGAUGCCGGGAGUGCCUUUCGGGGAAUUCACAUACCGGGUGCCGGCAUGGCCUGUCUGCCACCUCUCGGCCUUGAGAAUGUUUGGGGUUAAAGUCCCCGCCAACGAAGCGCAAACCCUUGUUUCCUUAUUUGCCAUCGGGUUAAGCCGGGAACUUUAAGGAUACUGCCAGUGACAAACUGGAGGAAGGCGGGGACGACGUCAAGUCAUCAUGGCCCUUACGACCAGGGCUACACACGUGCUACAAUGGUAGGUACAGAGGGUUGCUACACAGCGAUGUGAUGCUAAUCUCAAAAAGCCUAUCGUAGUCCGGAUUGGAGUCUGCAACUCGACUCCAUGAAGUCGGAAUCGCUAGUAAUCGCAGAUCAGAAUGCUGCGGUGAAUACGUUCCCGGGCCUUGUACACACCGCCCGUCACACCAUGGGAGUCUAUUGCACCAGAAGUAGGUAGCCUAACGCAAGAGGGCGCUACCACGCU
rnacentral:rRNA from 1 species